rnacentral:rRNA from 1 species
AUGGGCGAAAGCCUGAUGCAGCAACGCCGCGUGAGGGAUGACGGCCUUCGGGUUGUAAACCUCUUUUAGCAGGGAAGAAGCGAAAGUGACGGUACCUGCAGAAAAAGCGCCGGCUAACUACGUGCCAGCAGCCGCGGUAAUACGUAGGGCGCAAGCGUUAUCCGGAAUUAUUGGGCGUAAAGAGCUCGUAGGCGGUUUGUCGCGUCUGCUGUGAAAUCCCGAGGCUCAACCUCGGGUCUGCAGUGGGUACGGGCAGACUAGAGUGCGGUAGGGGAGAUUGGAAUUCCUGGUGUAGCGGUGGAAUGCGCAGAUAUCAGGAGGAACACCGAUGGCGAAGGCAGAUCUCUGGGCCGUUACUGACGCUGAGGAGCGAAAGGGUGGGGAGCAAACAGGCUUAGAUACCCUGGUAGUCCACCCCGUAAACGUUGGGAACUAGUUGUGGGGUCCAUUCCACGGAUUCCGUGACGCAGCUAACGCAUUAAGUUCCCCGCCUGGGGAGUACGGCCGCAAGGCUAAAACUCAAAGGAAUUGACGGGGACCCGCACAAGCGGCGGAGCAUGCGGAUUAAUUCGAUGCAACGCGAAGAACCUUACCAAGGCUUGACAUAUACGAGAACGGGCCAGAAAUGGUCAACUCUUUGGACACUCGUAAACAGGUGGUGCAUGGUUGUCGUCAGCUCGUGUCGUGAGAUGUUGGGUUAAGUCCCGCAACGAGCGCAACCCUCGUUCUAUGUUGCCAGCACGUAAUGGUGGGAACUCAUGGGAUACUGCCGGGGUCAACUCGGAGGAAGGUGGGGAUGACGUCAAAUCAUCAUGCCCCUUAUGUCUUGGGCUUCACGCAUGCUACAAUGGCCGGUACAAAGGGCUGCAAUACCGCGAGGUGGAGCGAAUCCCAAAAAGCCGGUCCCAGUUCGGAUUGAGGUCUGCAACUCGACCUCAUGAAGUCGGAGUCGCUAGUAAUCGCAGAUCAGCAACGCUGCGGUGAAUACGUUCCCGGGUCUUGUACACACCGCCCGUCAAGUCAUGAAAGUCGGUAACACCUGAAGCCGGUGGCCCAACCCUUGU